rnacentral:tRNA from 1 species
UUAACUAAAGCCAAAAAGAGGCACACCACUGUUAAUGGUGUAAUUGAGCUCUUAUAUAGCUCUAGUUAAG